rnacentral:rRNA from 1 species
GAUGAACGCUGGCGGCGUGCCUAAUACAUGCAAGUCGAGCGGCAGCACGGUCUUCGGACUGGUGGCGAGCGGCGGACGGCUGAGUAACGCGUAGGAAUAUACCCCAAAGUGAGGGAUAACUGCCCGAAAGGGUGGCUAAUACCGCAUGUGGUCUUCGGACUAAAGCCUUCGGGCGCUUUGGGAAUAGCCUGCGUAAGAUUAGCUAGUUGGUGAGGUAAUGGCUCACCAAGGCGACGAUCUUUAGCUGGUCUGAGAGGAUGACCAGCCAGACUGGAACUGAGACACGGUCCAGACUCCUACGGGAGGCAGCAGUAGGGAAUUUUCCACAAUGGGCGAAAGCCUGAUGGAGCAACGCCGCGUGCAGGAUGAAGGCCCUCGGGUCGUAAACUGCUUUAUGUGCGAAGAAUAUGACGGUAACACAUGAAUAAGGGUCGGCUAACUACGUGCCAGCAGCCGCGGU